CUUCGUCUCAAAAAAAUAAAAAAAUUUAAAAAAAAAAAAACACAGAAUCAAGGCUAAGAAUUUCACCAUACAAAAUCAAAUUCCUGGGUAGCUGCAAGUUUGCUCAGUUAACUCGUGUAGUUCAAGUGACUUAACUCACAUAGUUCAAGUGACUCAGCUAGUCACUAGAUCUUUUCUUACGGUUUCAGAGAAAAGUCAGCAAAAACUGCACAUUAUACAGGGCGACAGGCAUGGCAGCAGUUUCUGGUGCACAUGUUGCCUGUCUCCCGGUGACAGAAGAUAACAGAGGACUAAGAGCGCACAUAUACCUCAAGAGCCCUAAGGCUGCCACAGGAGAGUAAACAACUCCACCCAGCACUGCUCCAGGCCGGCUCCAGUUCAAAGUGCUUCGGGGGACCUUUUCUUCUCACAGCAUCAACAUAAAUGGCCGUCUUCUAUAUGUGAGCACUCAGCACUCCUGGCAAUUUCGUGGCAGCUGUGUGGCGAUAAGAGGCCCUUUAUUUUUUCAAGCACAUUUGUGAAGUGUGUGGGGAGC
rnacentral:lncRNA from 1 species